GUUGUCUAAUUCUAAAAACACAAAUUAGAUCUCUCUGUAUUUCUUCUCUAUAGCUCCUCCCCGAUUUGUGAGACGACUGGAGAGUGCCUGUCUGAUAGAAGGAGAGGAUUUCCAGUUUACCUGCUCCACACUCACUACUCCUUUACCACGUGUCAGGUACGGCAAAAGGAGAAGCUGCCAUGUAACCACAGUAGCUGCUCUAUGAGUCCUUGGACACUGUGUGUGUCAUAUGUAUUCAUCUUUGGCAGGUGGUUGAAAGACAGCAGAGAGCUGAAUGAUCCUCACAAAUACUUAAUUCUGAAUGAUGUUCGAAGUGGAAUCUUGUGUCUGACGGUCAUCGGUGCGACAGAGGCAGAUAUCGGACAGUACGAGUGUGAGCUUCGAAAUGAGUUUGGCUGUGUGAAGUGCAAAGCAGGACUGUGCCCCGCCUAUGUGUUACCGAUCGAAAUCGAGAAUGACCAACCACAGGAUUUACCCCCCAAAGGUAGGUAUGGCACAGUGACUCCAGGUAAAUAUUCUCCACACAGGAUGGAAGCCCAUGACAGAUUUUUCUAUGGACUCCCCACACUGUCACUUGUUCAGUCGUAUUUGAGAAGGGAUGAAGCACAUACCAUUGUUUCACAUCUGAGCCUGUCACUGUUUUUUGCAUCACACCGUGUGACACCUCUUCACUUUACAACAACAAACCAUGUGAACAAAUUACAUCAAUUUCCACUUUCAACCACUACCAUUCAUCCAUUCUAUCAGGUCAACACCAUUUUAAGAUUUUACUCACGUUUUCCUUUUUUCCUAUUUUAGACACACUUACACCUCAAGUAGUUCCAACUAGCAUACCAAUUGUCACUAGAUCCCUAACAGUUAUGGCAUAUGACGCAGCUUUUAGAUGAAACGAAGAGGAAAUUUAUCAUAUAAGAAUGAAAAAAGGAACAGCAGCUCCCAUCUGCACAGUACAGCAAUUGUGAAUUCAGCUAUUAACUAUAUUAAAUUGUGGAACAUAAAUAAUGUAUUUCUCCUUUCUCGUUUUGGAUUACUAUCAUAACUUCAAACCACUAAUUGGAGUUAAGUAAAGCAUGAAGCAGCAUGUGAAGAGUAAUAUGAACACUAUGUAUGUGUCUGCCGAAUGCAGAUGCUAGUGGUUAACCACUACAAUGACCUUUGCCACAAUAUACCCUACUUAAAAAUAUCCAUCCCUGACCUGAUGGCUACAAAUUAAUGAUUCUGAGUUGCUGAGUGCACAAGUAAGUCAUUUAAAGAAAAAACUACAAUAACUAUUUGCUGAAUCUAAACAAGUGUCUAAUGCCAUAACAUAUUGGGAUCUAGAGGCUACCAUUCAACAUCGCCAACAUACUGUACUUCCCAGCAUCCUUACUUAUGUAAAGACAUUGAUACAUGUAUUUUAUGGAAUGUUUUUGUGUUUUCCAUCACAUUACCACUUUACACAAAAAGCAUGGAUUGAAACAGACUUGAUCAUUUUCCCCUGUUAGACUCAUGGUAUCAUCUAAAAGUCAACCCAAUCUCUCAAGUCCCAUAGACAAUAGCAGAAAUGUAAUUAUAGAGAUAGCGAGUAGCUCUGUUGUAGUCCUAUAUGAUGUAAUGUGCCAGUGUCUAUUAAAUUACUGUUACUAUUACAUAUGAUCUACAAUAAAAGUGGUAGAAUAGAAUAGAAUUUAAUAGAAUUCAGGCAAAUUGAAUGGAGUUAUGAGAUGUUUUAAGUUUGGCAUAUGUUACUUAUAUCUCACUCAUUCAAUUAUUUUUCCUAGCUUUCAACAGUUUGUCCUUCCAUUGCCAAUAACCUACAUGUUUUUUCCAUCUUCCCUCUACUAGUCCAAUAGCAGGAGGUUCCUCACAUGGACUGUUCCAUGUAAGUCAUCACUGUCAUGAUAACAAAUAACCACUCAACAUUCCCCUUUCUCCUCUCAAAGCAUGCCCAGCUAACUCUUCACUCCUACGAACACAAGAUGGUCAUGUGCUGGGCAGGUGUCCCCCUUACGCCUAUGCAGGAAUGGGCAUGUGCACAUGUCCUCCUGAUGUGGUGAGGUAGUGAGGUUAAACCCACGAGUACUGAGGUAAGAAAUGCAAUAUUACUUUUCCCAGACUGAAAGGUAAUGUACUUUUUAAAUAUUAUUCACAGUAAACGUUAAGAUUAACAUCAAAUUCCUUUAAGUAUAGUUUAAAAUACACAUUUAUAUUAUUCAUUCAAUUCAAUAAUGCUUAUCCUAAAUUCUGGCUAAGCAGUGUUUUGAUUUACAUAGAUGCUGACUCAGAGGACUGGUCCACUGCCUUUGUGAAGAACUGGUUACAGACUGAUUUCAGCCCGACCUCUGUUGCCAAGAUGCUUUUUCCUCCUGGACACACUCAACAGUAAGUUUUGUAUAAUUUUAUACUUUGAAGUUUGUUAAUGUUUAGUAGUCAAAGUAGUUUGUCAAUAUAUCGAUAUAUAUUUUCACAUUAUUAUAAUUUGUCUGUGGUAUGUUUUAUCUUGAUUUUGUCUCCAGAGCUGAGUGUGGUGCUGAAGAGGUGGCUCCUGUCUCUUCAUAUGUGGAUCAGACAGCACAGCAGCCUCCAUGUUACUUGGAGGACGAGGAGGAGGAGAUUUUCCUCUCCGAACCAAUGCAAGAAAUCACAGAUGGUAUUCUUGUCUCUUAAACAUACAACUAUGAAUAUUAUCAAACACUGUAUAAGUAAAAGUGUUUUAAUUUCCUUUUUAGCUCCUCCAUCCAUCCAAGUACCUACUGAGGACCUUUGUGUAGAGCCUGGCCAGUCAGCUACAUUUACUGCAAUCAUCACAGGAAGACCUACUCCAAAGAUACAGUGGUACAAGGUAGGAGUUCAGUGAUUAGGUGAAUAUAAUAAAUAGGUAAAUAGGCCCAAAUAUAGUCAGUUAAUAGACACAUUA
ensembl:lncRNA